UUAAAUUGAAGAGUUUGAUCAUGGCUCAGAUUGAACGCUGGCGGCAGGCCUAACACAUGCAAGUCGAACGGUAACAGGAAACAGCUUGCUGUUUCGCUGACGAGUGGCGGACGGGUGAGUAAUGUCUGGGAAACUGCCAGAUGGAGGGGGAUAACUACUGGAAACGGUAGCUAAUACCGCAUAACGUCGCAAGACCAAAGAGGGGGACCUUCGGGCCUCUUGCCAUCGGAUGUGCCCAGAUGGGAUUAGCUAGUAGGUGGGGUAACGGCUCACCUAGGCGACGAUCCCUAGCUGGUCUGAGAGGAUGACCAGCCACACUGGAACUGAGACACGGUCCAGACUCCUACGGGAGGCAGCAGUGGGGAAUAUUGCACAAUGGGCGCAAGCCUGAUGCAGCCAUGC
rnacentral:rRNA from 1 species